UAAUUCGAUGAUACGCGAGGAACCUUACCUGGGCUUAAAUGCAGAGCGACGUUCCGGGAAACCGGAAUUCCUUCGGGCGAACUGCAAGGUGCUGCAUGGCUGUCGUCAGCUCGUGCCGUGAGGUGUCGGGUUAAGUCCCAUAACGAGCGCAACCCUUAUCGUUAGUUGCCAGCGGGUAAUGCCGGGGACUCUAACGAAACUGCCGGUGUAAACCGUGAGGAAGGUGGGGAUGACGUCAAGUCAGCACGGCCCUUAUGUCCAGGGCUACACACGUGUUACAAUGGUCGGUACAAAGGGCAGCUACCUGGUGACAGGAUGCUAAUCUCGAAAACCGAUCUCAGUUCGGAUUGAAGUCUGCAACUCGACUUCAUGAAGCUGGAUUCGCUAGUAAUCGCGCAUCAGCCACGGCGCGGUGAAUACGUUCCCGGGCCUUGUACACACCGCCCGUCAAGCCAUGGAAGCUUGGGGUACCUGAAGUCCGUAACCGCAAGGAUCGGCCUAGGGUAAAACAAGCGACUGGGGCUAAGUCGUAACAAGGUAACCAAGGGCGAA
rnacentral:rRNA from 1 species